CCUUUUUUUCAUCUGCCGUUUACUGUCUUCCCCCUCAAAUACCCUACUCCAUCUUCUCUAACUUCACCUUCUUAACAAGAAGAAAACCCUACAUCAGAACCAUGGCAACCAAACUCUCCUUCACUCUCGUUCACACUCCACACGUGACCUUCCACUCUCAUCCCUUCACUCCCACUCAGCUCUUCUCUCCCUCUAUUAAACAAACAGCCGGUCACCAAUGAUGGUGGCGGCGCACGGCAGUGGCGGCAGAGCCACGACAGAGAGAGAACGAUAGAGAGAGAGAGAGAGAGAUAGACGAUGGAGAGAGAGAGAGAUGCGCAACCGUUUUUUUUUUUUCGGGAAACUCGACGGCGGCGGGCACACGACACCGGAGACUAUCGGAGUUCGCGGGAAACAUCUCGAGUUCACGACCUUUGUUGUUCGGAUAACCGUUCGUUCAUUCGGUUUCUCAAUCUUUACUCGUGCGUUACUUCGAGAAAUUUCCAAACGCAACCAAUGUGAGUAUACUCGUAUUUCCCCCUUUUUACUUUUACCACUUUUGGGGUAUAACAUGUUUACUUAUCAAAAACUUACACAUGAACAUUUUGCUUAAACACAUGAACAUUCCUAUAACAUGCUUGUAUACGUGAUGGCUUGAUACUUUAAACUUGGGUGAAACUUAUGUGUUGAAUUUAUCAUUAACUUCGUACGAGCCAAACCGUGACAUAUGUAGCGCUAUAGGAUUGACGACCCGCCCGUAGACUUGAGGUUAUGUCAUGAGCAUGUUGCGUCUCUUUUGGUUUGAUAUGUUAGACACAUGCCAUAUUUAAAUGUUUAUCUUGAAUCACAUGCUUGCUACGAGGAAUUGUUCACAACUUAUCUUUUGCUAUGUAUGUAUCAAACUUGUAUACUCGCAUUUGCUUUUGCAUUGAAUUGUAUUUUUAAACAUGUUACAGGUUGAUGGUGACGAUGCUAUGAAAAGAAGUAGCGUUGAUGCCUAGAUACACAUAUAGACGUUUAGGUUUAAUAUGUUGUAUCAAUUUUGCUUAUGUUGCUAUGUAUUACUUUUGGAACUUGUUGUCAUUUGAGUUUAUGUAAUGUUGACUAUUUGAAGUUAUGAAAUGAAAUUGGGAUUAUUUAAAUAUUGUCACAAAUAGUGUUAUGAUGUCUCUAGCAAUCUUCACACUUCGUCUCAUCCCGAUGUUUCCGCCAUUGGUUGGGGUGUGACAGAUUGGUAUCAGAGCCAUAACUAUAGGGAAUUAGGAAAAGUAGGAAUGCUUUUACCUAGUCUAUAGUUUUAGAGCCUUAUUCUUAGGUUUUACUUGAAACUACUUGCAUGCUACUUACCUGCUUCUUAUCCAUUCUCUUUACUUUUAAGUACAUAUGUCGUCUUAACUUUAUGCACUAUACUUGACGUGCCAUCCUUAUGUGUUAAUACUUGUUUCAUUAUGUGUUAAUACUUGUUUUAUGAUGUGCCGACACUUGUUUAAUAUCCGAUUCUUAUGUGUUAUUCCUGACAAGGCUUCUUAUGUGUUAUUACUUGUUUGUUUAUUUUCUUAACAUACGUUUUCUAAGGCUUUUGUUUGAUUCUUCUAAAUCCGACAACACUCAUCUUAUAAAAACGAGACGAGUUUACCAAAAUAGGCGUGAAACCCACAAUUUGGUAAACGACUAUCAUCCUCUUGAUUCUAUUUUUGCACGAAAUUCACCAUUAAGUUAGGAAUGAAAUCCACAUCUUAAUGGGAAUUUCAAACUCUAGUGGACCCUCGUCAAAGUGUCGAAAUUAAAUUUUGACCCGACGAGUACCAACCACACUUAGGGUACGAAAUCGUCAAGUUAGUGGUGAACCCGCACCUUGUCGACUAGUUCCACUCCUUAAUUUUCGAAAAUCCCGCCAAGUCUCGAAUUUUCGAUGGAUUGGGAACAUGUAGUAACUGGAAGGGUAAGUACCGUUAGCCGAGAUAUCGGCAAGAGUAUUCCACCUAUUAGGUCAAAUCAUGUUCCCUAAUUUCAAAAGAUCUUUCGACCACUUUGGUUAGUCAAUGUUCCGUUUGGGACCCUCCAAGUUUUAUUCGAGCUUACGCUUUAUUAUUUUCGAUUUUUGUCAAUUUUGGACAAUUUUUCGAGAUUUCAUUUUUGCGUAACAUCAUACUCUUACCUUUCAUACGAUUACACAUUAUUAGCAUGCAUAAUUUCACGUAAUUUUAUUUACGCUUUCAUAACAACGAGCAGAGACAUAUCAUCGAGAUAGGAGUGAUUUCCUUACCUUGACGAUUAACUUCGCUUCUUUUCUCAUC